rnacentral:rRNA from 1 species
AUUGAACGCUGGCGGCAUGCCUUACACAUGCAAGUCGAACGGUAACAGGUCUUCGGAUGCUGACGAGUGGCGAACGGGUGAGUAAUACAUCGGAACGUGCCUAGUAGUGGGGGAUAACUACUCGAAUGAGUGGCUAAUACCGCAUGAGAUCUACGGAUGAAAGCAGGGGAUCGCAAGACCUUGUGCUACUAGAGCGGCCGAUGGCAGAUUAGGUAGUUGGUGGGAUAAAAGCUUACCAAGCCGACGAUCUGUAGCUGGUCUGAGAGGACGAUCAGCCACACUGGGACUGAGAAACGGCCCAGACUCCUACGGGAGGCAGCAGUGGGGAAUUUUGGACAAUGGGCGCAAGCCUGAUCCAGCAAUGCCGCGUGCAGGAUGAAGGCCUUCGGGUUGUAAACUGCUUUUGUACGGAGCGAAAAGCCCCGGGUUAAUACCCUGGGGUCAUGACGGUACCGUAAGAAUAAGCACCGGCUAACUACGUGCCAGCAGCCGCGGUAA